rnacentral:lncRNA from 1 species
CAGCAACCAACCACAGCCAUUGAUUCUCGCUCAGGAAUUGUUGCCAGCCAUUGGAUCGUGCAAAGAAGUGGGCCACCAUCGAAGCAUAUGGGAAGACAUGUUCUGGACCGUACGAUUGCGUGUUUGGCGUGAUCUCAGUCGUUCAAUCAUGCAAAACUCAUCUGCUCGCCUGUGCAUCGCAUCGUGGAUCGUGAGAUUUUCUGUGGAUCGCACCC